rnacentral:rRNA from 1 species
UACGUAGGGAGCAAGCGUUGUCCGGAAUCAUUGGGCGUAAAGCGCGCGUAGGUGGCCUCGUAAGUCCGCUGUGAAAGUCAAAGGCUCAACCUUUGAAAGCCGGUGGAUACUGUGGGGCUAGAGUACGGAAGAGGCGAGUGGAAUUCCUGGUGUAGCGGUGAAAUGCGCAGAUAUCAGGAGGAACACCGAUUGCGAAGGCAGCUCGCUGGGACGUUACUGACGCUGAGACGCGAAAGCGUGGGGAGCAAACAGG